rnacentral:RNase_P_RNA from 1 species
GCAGGCAGAACGUGGCUGCUCUCGCUAUUGGCGGGAGAGGAAAGUCCGGGCUCCACAGGACAGCGUAAUGGGUUAAUCCCCAUCACCGGCAGCGAAAGUUACCGGGAGGAUCCAGAGCCACAGAGACGAGCCCGCACCUGUAUUUAAGGUGGGGGAGUGAAACGAGGCAAUCUCUACGCGGAGCAAGGUUCAAUAGGAGGCGAUGUGCCGGUCCGGCGCGUUAACAGCCUCGGGUAAACUGCUAGAACCUUGACGGCAACGUCAAGGCUAAGAGGAAUAGCCACUAAGGAUGCGCAAAAUUCGCAUUGACACAGAACCCGGCUUAUUCUGCCUGCUAUU